CCUACGGGGGGCAGCAGUGAGGAAUAUUGGUCAAUGGACGAGAGUCUGAACCAGCCAAGUAGCGUGAAGGAUGACUGCCCUAUGGGUUGUAAACUUCUUUUAUAUGGGAAUAAAAUGUUCCACGUGUGGGAUUUUGUAUGUACCAUAUGAAUAAGGAUCGGCUAACUCCGUGCCAGCAGCCGCGGUAAUACGGAGGAUCCGAGCGUUAUCCGGAUUUAUUGGGUUUAAAGGGAGCGUAUGUGGAUUGUUAAGUCAGUUGUGAAAGUUUGCGGCUCAACCGUAAAAUUGCAGUUGAAACUGGCAGUCUUGAGUACAGUAGAGGUGGGCAGAAUUCGUGGUGUAGCGGUGAAAUGCUUAGAUAUCACGAAGAACUCCGAUUGCGAAGGCAGUUCACUGGACUGCAACUGACACUGAGGCUCGAAAGUGUGGGUAUCAAACAGGAUUAGAUACCCCUGUAGUC
rnacentral:rRNA from 1 species